UUGGAGGGCAAGUCUGGUGCCAGCAGCCGCGGUAAUUCCAGCUCCAAUAGCGUAUAUUAAAGUUGCUGCAGUUAAAAAGCUCGUAGUUAAAUUUCGGGACCAUCAUGUCGGUCGUGCCUCGGUACGUACUGGUAUUGUUGGUUUCUCCCUUCUGACGAACCAUGAUGUCAUUUAUUUGGUGUUGUGGGAAAUCAGGACUGUUACUUUGAAAAAAUUAGAGUGUUUAAAGCAGGCUCACGCUUGAAUACAUUAGCAUGGAAUAAUGAAAUAGGACGUUUGAUUCUAUUUUGUUGGUUUCUAGGAUUGAUGUAAUGAUUAAUAGGGAUAGUUGGGGGCAUUAGUAUUCAAUUGUCAGAGGUGAAAUUCUUGGAUUUAUUGAAGACUAACUACUGUGAAAGCAUUUGCCAAGGAUGUUUUCAUUAAUCAAGAACGAAAGUUAGGGGAUCGAAGACGAUCAGAUACCGUCGUAGUCUUAACCAUAAACUAUGCCGACUAGGGAUCGGAUGAUGUUAAUUUUUAAUGACUCAUUCGGCGCCUUACGGGAAAC
rnacentral:rRNA from 1 species